UACGUAGGGACCAAGCGUUGUUCGGAUUUACUGGGCGUAAAGGGCGCGUAGGCGGCUUAACAAGUCACUUGUGAAAUCUCCGAGCUUAACUCGGAAAGGUCAACUGAUACUGUGCGACUAGAGUGCGGAAGGGGCAACUGGAAUUCUUGGUGUAGCGGUGAAAUGCGUAGAGAUCCGGAGGAACACCAGAGGCGAAGGCGGCCUACUGGGCCAGUACUGACGCUGAGCCGCGAAAGCCAGGGGAGCGAACGGG
rnacentral:rRNA from 1 species